GGGGUAUAUCUCAGUGGCGGGGUGCAUGCUUAGUAAGCAUGUGGCCCUGGGUUUAAUUCCCGGAAACCCCA
rnacentral:tRNA from 1 species